rnacentral:lncRNA from 1 species
CAUGUUUUGCAUCUGUCAAUUAACAUACAUUGGCUCGCUGUCAAUUUCUUGUGUUUUGCAAGCAGCGCAAGGGGUUCUCUGCUGUUUCUGGUUUUCAGGAAAAAUCCAACAACCGAGCAGUUGGAGAAGCGAAGGCCGCGAGAGACACUUGCGGACUGAAGUGUCUAAGCAGGUACCUGGUGCUACUGGCGCAGUUUCUUAUCAUUCAGGUUUGUGCAUCUUGUUUCAUUAUUUCAAUCUUGUUACUUUCAUGUUCAAAAAAAUAUAGUACUGGGCUACUGGUCUAUCUAGCAUCCCCAAAUGUGCUUUCUGUUUUUGUCAGUAUUACAACACUAUGAAUAUACACAAAAGCCACUAGAAAUACAUUAGCACUGUUCCAUCACUACACAACUUGGAACGAUGCACUGUAAUAGGAAGUUAAGACUGCAAAAAUUAGUAUGGUGCUUACAAUAGGAUACCAGUAUACCAUAGAGAUUCCAUGGUGCCCUCUAAUCAAGAAAAAAAACGUCUAUACUUCCUUCACCAUAGCUGUUUCAGUGAUUUGCAGUUGCAGCUAAAUCAACUGAAAGGCUCUCCACUACCGAUUCCAUCGUUGGCCUUUUCUUCCUCUCUUCCUCCAAGCACGAGACAGACAACUUGAUCAAAGCUUUUGCUUGCGAGUAGUCGAAUUCACCACCCAGUCUGAAAUCCACAAACUCUGCUAUCCAAAAGGGUUCCUCCCUGUCCAAUCUGUAGGAAAGCAUCUUGAUGAACUUCUUCAGCAUCACAUGCACCUUCUCAUCUUCACCUUUGACCAAAUCAAAAACCCGUGUUCCUGACACCAGUUCGAGAAGCACAACUCCAUAGCUGUACACGUCGACCUUGGCAGUUAUCGGUAAACCAGAUAUCCACUCUGGAGCAAUGUAACCUAUGGUUCCUCGUGCUCGUGUUACAUUUUGAUUAUCCCCAGAUCUGUUGACCAACUUUGCCAACCCAAAGUCAGUGAUCUUAGGCUCCAGAUCCUGGUCCAAUAAAAUGUUCUCAGGCUUCAGGUUGCAGUGAAUGAUCCACUCUAGGCACUCGUGGUGAAGAUAGGCCAGUCCCUUUGCAACACCUAAGGCAAUGUUGAAUCUCUGAUUCCAUUCUAAAGAGAUUUUACUUUUGAACAAUAUGUGUGCCAACGAUCCUUUCUCAGCGUACUCGAGGACUAACAUCCUGUGGGAUCUUUCUGAACAAAACCCAUAUAUUCUUACUAGGUUCAUAUGGUUGAUCCUCGCAAUAACAUGCAACUCAUCAUUGAAUUCUUCUCUGCUGUGCCUUAUAUUUCCCAGCUUUUUUACAACCACCAGUCGGUCAUCGUCUAAUAUGCCUUUAUAGGCAACCCCUGUACCUCCCCAUCCAAGCUCAUGUGCAAAUUUUUCAGUUGCCUUAGCCAGCUCUCUGUAGCUAUACAUUCGGAAAUGAUUGGUCAUCAUCUUGUAGCCUUCCUCAGCUGCCCAUACUUGUGAUGACUUCAAUUCCCUCCUCAAGACAAAGAACCAUGCAAAUGUGAAAAAGAAAACUUCAAUAAUGAAGAAUGCACCAAUAAACCCAUAGAAGUAGAACCAUUUUGGCUCCUCCUGACUAGGCUUAUGUAAGUAACUGGGAUUUUGUUCCGUGAAUAUUGUGCUUAUAGGACCACAUACAGGCUUACGUGGUGCAGAAUCAAGCACAUUGGACUGCGGAAUCUGAAGUUUUGAUGUGUCCAAACUUGAUGGGAGUUUGAUGUA